GCCGGAUACAGAGAACUACGAGCCCUGGUGAACCUCUCAAGAGUUCCAAAGCCAAUGAGCUCCAGGUGCCACCCACUGACAACGAGGGGCUGACCUACACUGAGCUGCAAGCUGUGACCCCCAGCUUCUGCCGCCCUGGGCCCAGCGCGGUCCCCCAGCCCCCGGUUAUCUACGCCCAGCUGGGCUUCGGGGAACCCCACUGAUGUCCCCCAUACCGGUUGCUGCAUUUGUGGAGUGCAGUAAUGGAAACAGACACCAAGUUCCCCGCUUGGGUCUCACUGAUGCUCUCUGCUCCCCCAGUCCCACAACUCUCCCCACAUUUAACAUCCUUCAAAUCCCCACCGGUGUACACCAAAUCAUCCCAAAUCCCACCAAAUCCCUGCAUGGUCAGCGCUACCGUCACAGUGCAUCCUUAUCACCUGGAUUCCUUUACACCUCUGAGACGUCCAAAUCCUCCCCAGUCCACCCCAAGCCCCACCAGUAUUCUUGAAGGACCCCCACAACUCUCAAACUCUGCACCAACCUCCACCACCAGCCCUGAGGGACCCCCGGGUUGGUCCCAGUCCACCACAAAAGCCCCCAUAACACUGAGUGGUGUGUAACAACAGGUGUGCACUACCCCACAGCAGGCGUGCAAUCCAAGGAGUGUUCUCACACAUGUGUCACUGUCACCACUGCUGAAUCGCACCGCCUCGCUGGGCUCACAUCCACCACUUGGUCUCCAUCAGUGCUCACAAGCCUCGAUGAAUGUCAGUGGGGCCAUUAUUUCUGCAUGGAGGAAUGCAGUCC
ensembl:lncRNA